CACGUAGGGCGCAAGCGUUGUCCGGAAUUAUUGGGCGUAAAGAGCUCGUAGGCGGUCUGUUGCGUCUGCUGUGAAAACUCGGGGCUUAACCCCGAGCCUGCAGUGGAUACGGGCAGACUAGAGGUAGGUAGGGGAGAAUGGAAUUCCCGGUGUAGCGGUGAAAUGCGCAGAUAUCGGGAGGAACACCGGUGGCGAAGGCGGCGUCCUGGACCAACACUGACACUGAGGAGCGAAAGCCAGGGGAGCAAACGGG
rnacentral:rRNA from 1 species